rnacentral:rRNA from 1 species
AUUGAACGCUGGCGGCAGGCCUAACACAUGCAAGUCGAGCGGGGUUUUCGGACCUAGCGGCGGACGGGUGAGUAAUGCGUAGGAAGCUACCCGAUAGAGGGGGAUACCAGUUGGAAACGACUGUUAAUACCGCAUAAUGUCUACGGACCAAAGUAUGGGACCUUCGGGCCACAUGCUAUCGGAUGCGCCUACGUGGGAUUAGCUAGUUGGUGAGGUCAUGGCUCACCAAGGCGACGAUCCCUAGCUGGUUUGAGAGGAUGAUCAGCCACACUGGGACUGAGACACGGUCCAGACUCCUACGGGAGGCAGCAGAGGGGAAUAUUGGACAGUGGGCGCAAGCCUGAUCCAGCCAUGCCGCGUGUGUGAAGAAGGCCUUCGGGUUGUAAAGCACUUUCAGUAGGGAGGAAGCGUUGUGUGUUAAUAGUACACAGCGUUGACGUUACCUACAGAAGAAGCACCGGCUAACUCUGUGCCAGCAGCCGCGGUAAAAC